CUAAUCCCCCUACAGGGUUUCUUUUCGAAGCCAUGUUGACAUACUCUGCAAUCUGAAGUGAGAGUUGCACUUUAAGUCUAAGAACUGUCGAUGCCGGCUCUAUCUGUUGUGCCUGCCUGCACCUGGAUUCUGUGCCAACUUGCCAGCGUGCACAAUACAAUGAUUCAACAAUUCUGAACUUUUCUCAGCGCGCAUCGAGGCUGUUACAGGAAUCAACUUCCCUUAGCAAGUGUCUGAGAGGGGUGGUGGAGAUGGCCGUCGGAAAGACAAGCCAAUUUGUCUGCCACAGACCUGUUUGCAGGCAACAAACUUGGUGUUUUAGGACUGCAUUUUGUUUACAAUGGCUGGAAUGGAGGAGAGGGUAGGAAAGGAACACAGGGGAGGGGAGGGGAGGGGAGGGCAGGGAACAUUUAUUGAGACUAUAUUAUGUAAAUCAUGUUACUCUAUUUCACAUAUUCCGCUACUUUUUCUUCUUAGGGUACUUACUUUGAUGAUACCUACUUUCUAGAAGUUCUAUAAAGAUCUUCAAAUCACAGAGCCAAAACACGGUGCAGUGAUGAUUUUAAUCCAGAUUGAUUGAUUAGAAUCUUAGGCUUUUCGGGGAGAAUGAUUAGAAGUUAUUUUAGAUGCAAGUGUCAAGGAGACCAACAUUAAAGGAAAAGUGCCAUCUUCGAGAAAACUAACCCUAUAUUUCUUUGUGUAUCUUCGAGCUUCUCAAAACCCCAAAUUUAGUUUGUUAAUUGUACACACAGCCUGUUGUGUUCAUGUCUAUGGUGUUUGAUAAUCAAGUAAGAGGAAAUUCUUCUGACACCCCAGUGGACCCCUAGUGCCACAUAUCAGAGGCUAUGGCAAUCCAAGACAGCACUGGUGGGAAACCAGGGAGAAAAGAAAAGAAAAACAGAAAAAAAAAAAAAAACAAAAACCAACCACCACAGGCAGGAAUGGAACAAGGAAUUCCAAGAGGGGCUUCUAGUAUUUCAUUGUUAUUGAAAAUUACACUUCAUAAAAAGUCUUGUUCAUUUAAAGUUUGAAGAGUGACAGAAAAAUGGCUUUCGUACUUAGGUCUGCUAAAUGUAUGAUAAAUCAAAAAAGAUGGAACAAGGAGAAACUUUAAAAACAAAGCAGAAAGUCAGUGUGUAGUACACAUAACACUUCAUUAGGGCUGCGGUGCCUCGCGAAACAGCCUGGAGAAUUCCACAGAGAAAUUGUAGUAUAUGGCGCAGGAGAGAAUAAUUUACUAUCAUUAGGGGUUUGUAAUCCUUACAAUGGAAAGGGGAAUGUAUGCAUGUAACUCUUUAAUGAUAGUGGGCUUGCAGGCAUAAAUCCCUAAAUGAUGAGAUGUGAAUACAUUCUAAAAAUUAAAGUUUCUAUUGGGUAAGAAAAAGUCAGGCUGUCUGGUUUGCUUGGCUUGCAGACCCAAGUCUAUUACCAACCCACUGAGAACUGCAGCCGUGGGAGAAUGCUUCAUCUGCUCCACGUCUUAAGUGGGGCCAUGCUGGGGUAGAGGUGGUGGUUUAAGUCUCUCCCUCAUCGGACACACAUCAACACUGGACACACAGUUUUUGGUUAGCGGUAGUUGAUGCCAAAGGCUGGCAGAAUGCCGCACCCUCCAAAACACUCUCAGCCAUAGCCCAAGUGUUUUCUGUCUGAAAAGCCUUUUCUGUACUAAGUUUUAGGCAUCCAGCUUAGUGUGGGUCCCAAGCAAAAAUGAGCAACAGGAAAAAUUAAUAAUUUUCCUCUCCACCCUCAAGCUCCCUUUUCCUCCCUUAGGAGGGUUUCCUCUCUCGAUGCUAUUCUCAAACUCUCUUCAACAAAUUCUCUGAAACAAAGAAAUGCAAAUGAAAGGCAAGAGUUUAAGGGUUACUUGGCCCACAGGCAUUUUUUUUUUUUUUAACUGUAACCUAGAUCCAAUCCUUAAGCAAAGCAUGAUUUAGAAAGAUUUUCAAAGAGGUGUUCUCCAGACAAAGAUGCUUGGAUGUUGGCUGGGAGGCGGGAUAUUUCCAGAAUCUGGAGUAGACUGUGGUGGGUGGUGGGUUAUGAAGUUUGAACCAGGGGAGCUAUAGACUUAAAUGGGAUUCCAGGUCGGAUGUCAGGAGGAAGGGAUCCAGCCUGGGAAGCGUGAGCAUGAUGUUGGCAUUCCAAGACCAGCGGUUCUGACAGCGGCUGAGAAUGACGCACAGAAGGCCAGGAACCAGCUGGUGAAUGGUGCUGGCUACAAGCGGUUGGCUGGGUUACAUCAGGGGUCCUUUACCUGGUAGGACACAUGGCAGAGGAAAGUCAACAGUGGUCCAUGAGCAGCCUCCAAGAGGUCUGGAAACACCCUUAAAUCUCAUUUAAAAUUCUCUGCAAGACGGAGUGUUGAAGCUUGGAUUAAAUAGUGUGCCCCCCGUAAAAUGUCUAAGUGCAGCAGACCAAUCAAAGGGGACUCUGGGACCCCCUGGAAUCCAUCAUAGCAGCACUGGUCUGUAGCCAACUAUGCCGUUCAGCCUGGUCCCCACUCUGCGGGUGCAUCUGCUUUCAGCGCCUGCCGCAGAGUGGCUGAAGCAUUUGUUGUCUGCCAUGAUCUAGUUCCCUGAAAAGGGGCCAAGAAGUUUACUUGACUAGUACUGUAGUGACAUCCCCCCCCCCUCUCUUUCUCGUGACCCAUGGGAAUAAUGCACCAUCCCACUGUCACCCCCGGGGAGUGCAAGUCACCAAGAUGUCUGAUGGCUCUGCUCUGCUGGCCGAUGAGCUAGUCAGCUUCAAUCUCUUGCCUUUGGGGUUUCUUGGAUGGAACUGAGAUGCCAUUAUAUGUCCUGUGCACCGGGGGAUGCUCGUCAAACUCUCCCAACGGCCCCCUUCCCCAGGAUUCUCUAGUUGGGGACAAG